AACGCACAUUGCGCCCGCCAGUAUUCUGGCGGGCAUGCCUGUCCGAGCGUCAUUUCAACCCUCGAACCCCUCCGGGGGGUCGGCGUUGGGGAUCGGCCCUUUACGGGGCCGGCCCCGAAAUACAGUGGCGGUCUCGCCGCAGCCUCUCCUGCGCAGUAGUUUGCACACUCGCAUCGGGAGCGCGGCGCGUCCACAGCCGUUAAACACCCCAAACUUCUGAAAUGUUGACCUCGGAUCAGGUAGGAAUACCCGCUGAACUUAA
rnacentral:misc_RNA from 3 species